CCUACGGGAGGCAGCAGUGGGGAAUUUUGGACAAUGGGCGCAAGCCUGAUCCAGCAAUGCCGCGUGCAGGAUGAAGGCCUUCGGGUUGUAAACUGCUUUUGUACGGAACGAAACGGUCUGCUCUAAUACAGUGGGCUAAUGACGGUACCGUAAGAAUAAGCACCGGCUAACUACGUGCCAGCAGCCGCGGUAAUACGUAGGGUGCGAGCGUUAAUCGGAAUUACUGGGCGUAAAGCGUGCGCAGGCGGUUAUAUAAGACAGAUGUGAAAUCCCCGGGCUCAACCUGGGACCUGCAUUUGUGACUGUAUAGCUAGAGUGCGGCAGAGGGGGAUGGAAUUCCGCGUGUAGCAGUGAAAUGCGUAGAUAUGCGGAGGAACACCGAUGGCGAAGGCAAUCCCCUGGGCCUGCACUGACGCUCAUGCACGAAAGCGUGGGGAGCAAACAGGAUUAGGAUACCCUGGUAGUCCACGCCCUAAACGAUGUCAACUGGUUNUUGGGUCUUCACUGACUCAGUAACGAAGCUAACGCGUGAAGUUGACCGCCUUGGGGAAGUCGGCCGCAAGGUUGAAACCUUGAAGAGAGUUAGAGNGNGAGAGNGCGAGGACGACGACGAGGAGAG
rnacentral:rRNA from 1 species